UACGUAGGGGGGCAAGCGUUGUUCGGAAUUACUGGGCGUAAAGGGCGCGUAGGCGGCAUGGCAAGUCAGGAGUGAAAGGCCUGGGCUCAACCGAGGAACUGCUUUUGAUACUGCCAAGCUAGAGUGCGGAAGGGGGCAACUGGAAUUCCCAGUGUAGCGGUGAAAUGCGUAGAUAUUGGGAAGAACACCUGAGGCGAAGGCGGGUUGCUGGGCCGACACGUGGACGCUGGAGGCGCGAAAGCCAGGGGAGCAAAGC
rnacentral:rRNA from 1 species